rnacentral:tRNA from 1 species
CAAAAUAUAGCUUAACUAAAGCCUCUCGCUUACACCGAGAAUAUAUCUGUUAGACCAGAUUAUUUUGA